AUUGAACGCUGGCGGCAGGCCUAACACAUGCAAGUCGAGCGAGCGGCGGACGUGUGAGACAUGCCUGAAAAUUGCCAAGUCGCGGGGGAUCUCAGUUGAAAACGACUGCUAAUCCCGCAUACGAUUGGAUUGCCCAGGUGGGAUUAGCUAGUUGGUGAGAUAACGUCUCACCACGGCGACGAUCCCUAGCUGGUCUGAGAGGAUGACCAGCCACACUGGAACUGAGACACGGUCCAGACUCCUACGGGAGGCAGCAGAGGGGAAUAUUGCACAAUGGGGGCAACCCUGAUGCAGCCAUGCCGCGUGUGUGAAGAAGGCCUUCGGGUUGUAAAGUACUUUCAGCGAGGAGGCGUUACUCGCAGAAGAAGCACCGGCUAACUCCGUGCCAGCAGCCGCGGUAAUUC
rnacentral:rRNA from 1 species